AGUCGCUGUUUGGGACGCUGGGUGUGCGGUGUUCUGUCUCCGCUCCCGUUUCGCUGUCACAGCCCGUUCCUUCCCGGAGCCCGGGACAGGCUGGGCGCGCGCCCGUGACGCGUGACCAAAACCAAAGACGGCCAUGAAGUGAGAUCGUGCAAAGUAGCAGAUAAAACGGGCAGCAUCACUAUUUCCGUGUGGGAUGAGAUCGGAGGUCUUAUACAGCCAGGGGAUAUUAUUCGGUUGACCAGAGGGUAUGCAUCCAUGUGGAAAGGAUGUCUGACACUUUAUACUGGAAGGGGUGGUGAACUUCAAAAAAUUGGGGAUCUAGGUGCGGUGCAGGCAGCCGCAAUGCGAGAUUCCAUACACUACUACCCUGGUAAUGAUCUCCACCCUGACCUGGAGGAGCCAUCCUCUCUAGGGGUGUAAGGUAAUUCAGCCUCCAUGUUAGCCUAGACAUUGGGUUGUAUUCAUAAAGUAUGGUACAGGCAAUGAGCCAAAUCAUCAGUCCAUUCUGUUUGGUUAAUGCUCUGCCAUCUACUUAAUGCCUGUCAAAUUGGAAGAUAUUUAAAAAGAGAAGCCACAAAUGGCACCAGAUAAAAAAGGAAAACUGUUUGCCACUGAGGGAAUAAGAUGCUUAUUUGGAGAACCUGUGGUUAAUAAUGAAGGAAAAGAAAUGAUCAUGCUAGCUUUUAAAGAUCAGAAACACUUAACGCUUUGCCUUUGUUAGAAGGGAAGUUAGGAUUCACUUAGAGUAGCAUUAAUAGAGUUAUGUGUUAUGAAAGGUCUUAGUGUCUGUUACUGAAAGGUUCAGGAUUCUGUCCUGACCUUCAUGUAUUCAUACAGAGGUGUUGAUAAUAAUGGAGGUCAGUUACGUGAAAAACCGUUAGAGGUCACUCAUUUCUUAAUGACUGCUCUUUGUCAGGGUCAGUCGAGGAUUUACCAAAACUGGUUCUGAUUUGUCUUCAGUAUGGUGAGGAGUAAUAAAAUGCUUCUUUGUAAUGUUAGUACACAUUAUAUGGUCAACUUACAGGAAGCACUUGGAUAAACUGGUGGCUAUGUAGCCUGUUGUUAUUAUUUAUUGCCUAGAAACCACUCUUAACCCUAAAUGAUUAUCUUUGCAGAUCCACAGUGAUCGAUCAAAAGAGGGACUGAAUGGGAGUGGGUGAAUGGAUCGGUGCAAAUCCAUUACCACUGCUGGAGAAACCACCCUGGAACCCUAAACAUGGUUCACUCUCAUGUUAUUUUUCCUUUGAUCAGCUUUUGUGGAAAAACAGGACAGAGAUGUUUUUGUGUCCUUGAUUUUUGAUGUGAUUUUUUUUUCAGCACUAAAGAAGAAUUUAAAUACAAAAUAGAAUGUUAUAUAUCUUGUAGACAGUCAAAUAUUUGAUGUUUUAUGGGACAUAAUCAUUUGGGAAGUUUUUGUUGUAAAUGAAGAGUUAGUUUGUUGCUAUUAAUUUGUUUGACACAUAAGUUCAUUCCUAAAAGUUAGAGAUGUUACAUAAAGAAGGGUUGAGGACUUUAUUUCAGAAGUCAUUUAAUUUUUUCUUUAUUUUCUUUCAGAUUUUGUAUGGUUUAUUCAGAAGUGCCAAAUUUCAGUGAACCCAACCCAGAUUAUCGAGGACAGCAGAACAAAGGGGCACAGAGUGAACAGAAGAAUAAUUCCAUGAAUAGUAAUAUGGGUACAGGUACAUUUGGACCAGUGGGUAAGAUUUUGUUUGUGUGUUUCAUUUGUGAUCAGGUAUAAGAAUGAAGAGAGCUGUAAAGAUUCACGUGAAAAGCAACGUCUUUAGGCAUAAAUUAGUGAUAAAGGUGAACUACCAGUAAACAGGGAAUCCCCAAAGGGCUGAUUUUCUAGAAAGUUGAUAAACUUAAGCCAGUUUAUUGAGAAUUCUAAGUUUUUGU
rnacentral:lncRNA from 1 species